GGGGGUAAACAAGUUGUUUUUGCAUGAUUUUCGUGGGAUUUUACCACCUAUCACUUCUAAUGUUGUUUCUUACUGUUUUAAGUGCUUUUAGUGUGUUUUGAGCUGUUUUAGUGUGUUUUGAAGGAAAAAUACGAAAAUUUGAAGAAAAAAAAAUUAGAAAAAGUUUUGAAAAACAAACCAAAAAGAGUCGUUUUUGUAUGUUUGUGUCUUAGGGUACCUUCCAACACAAUGAUGAGGAUUUGGUUUUUGAUUGCAUGACUGUUAAAGAGAGUUACGAACAUGGGGGAAGUUUGAUAUGCCUUUGGUUUAUGCUUGGUUAUAGAUGACGUUUACGAAUUCACAUGAAAUCACAAAAAAAAAAAUCAAUUUUUGUAACAUGCUUGAAGGAAGGAACUCAAAGUAACACUACAACCCUGAGAGACUUGAGCCUAAACUUUAUUUGGAGAGUUAUUAAUCUGUGAAGUUUUUGUUUUCUAAAGUCGUUGCAUAAUCUCAUUAUUCUUUGCUUGGUUGCUACUUAGAAUGCGUUUUUCAUCAUUAUAGUUCCAAAUACUAGAACUCAUGCCCGUUUCAUUCAAAGCUUAAAAUUGAGUGCAUAACAUGUAACAAGAUGAAGUUGUUUAGUAGUUACCACCAUAACCAAAAAGCCUUCAUCCCAUGCAUUUGUUUUGUAGGAUUAACCCCUUUGAGCCUUGUCUAGCCUAUUUUCUUUGUUAGCCAUAUUAUCCCUACCUAGCCUAGAAUAGGACUAUCCCUUGUUCUUGAAGUAUAGUGGAGCAUAACUUAGAGAGAAUUCACUUUGAUCGACAUUAAUGCAGAAAACAAAUGCGGGGGAAGGAUUUCAAAAGUUGUGUUUUUGUGUGCCAAAGAAAUACGGCAUGGGUUUGAAAAGAAAAGAAAAAAAACGUGUAAGAAAGAAAGAAAAGAGUUGAAAAUAAGCGAGAAUAAGCUCACAAGUAUUGAUUAUUGAAGAAAGGGUCCAAAAGAUUGAAUCUGACCCUAAGUGUUUUGUGAAUCUUCCUUUUGUGUUUAAAGUGGAUUUUUGCAUUCAAAAGUGAAUUCUAAGUGUCAAUUUCAGUACUUUGCUUACUAUUGCUUUAAGAACUUUUGUUUAUCCUUACCUUUCUUUGUUAGCCAAUACCUUUAGCCCCGUUACAAACCUUAGACUUCUAUCUUGGGUGUUAUGCGUUUCAAUCUGUGGAGUUUGGAAUUGGUAUGAGCAUAUGGAAUCCCUGGUUCUCGCUUCUAAGUAGUAGCAUUCCGUUCAUGAGAUCAUAUAUAUACAUGCAUUAAUAAUUCCAGAAAUUGCUUUCUUUGUUUAAAACAUAUGUGAGUACUAGUUUACAUGUUUACAUCAAUCUUCUCACAUAUACCUAGUAUAGGGAGUGUAGUCAGAAAAUCUGUGUGAAAAUAGAGUGUAUAUCCGUUGAGG
rnacentral:lncRNA from 1 species